AAAAGCAGGGCAGGUAAAGAGGGAAAGCUGAACUAGAGGGUUGUUACCAGAAAACUUGCAUGCAGUGAAAUUUGGAUUAAAUUUCCAUCUGCCAAAAUAAUGUCAAUAAACUCUUCUACCUGGAGGAGUAGAGAACAGGCACUAGAAGAUCAUUUAGAAGACUAUAAAAACAAUUUGUGAUACAGUGAGGACUGUGACUAUGGCCACAGGUUACAAAAGGAGAUACGAUUUUCAAGAAACAUUUCUGAGGUAUACUCAAUAAAAUUAUAGAAAGUAGACUACCACUUAAAAUAAAAAGCUGCAAUGAGAGGGCAUUCUCAAAGAGUAGAGAGCGGUAAUUUAAAAAUGCAAUGUGCAAAUCCUAGAUUCUGGAAAAGUGAAAAAUAAUAUAUUUGUUUAAUUUCCACACUGUUAAUGCUAUUAUUUUUCCAUAUUCAAAUGUAACUGUGACUGUGAGCAUAUACAUUUACCUGUUUUAAU